AACGAACGCUGGCGGCAUGCCUAACACAUGCAAGUCGAACGAGACCUUCCGGUCUAGUGGCGCACGGGUGCGUAACGCGUGGGAACCUGCCCUUAGGUUCGGAAUAACUCCCCGAAAGGUAUGCUAAUACCGGAUAAUGUCUUCGGACCAAAGAUUUAUCGCCUUUGGAUGGGCGCGCGUUGGAUUAGUUAGUUGGUAGGGUAAAAGCCUAACAAGGCGACGAUCCAUAGCUGGUCGGUUAAUAGGAUCAGGCAGACUGGGACUGAGACACGGCCCAGACCCCUAGGAAGGGCUGCAGGGGAGAGAAUUAGAGGAUGGACGCAAGCCUGAGACAGCAAUGCCGCGUGAGUAAUUAAGCCGUUAGUGUUGUCAAGAUGUUUUAGACGGGAUGAUAAUGACGGUAACGGGAAAAUAAGCACCGGCUAACUCCGUG
rnacentral:rRNA from 1 species